rnacentral:rRNA from 1 species
UGGUGGGGUGACUUGACUGCUUAAUUGCGAUAACGAACGAGACCUUAACCUGCUAAAUAGCCCGCAUUGCUCCGGCAGUGCGCUGGCUUCUUAGAGGGACUUUCGGCUCAAGCCGAAGGAAGUUUGAGGCAAUAACA